rnacentral:sRNA from 20 species
ACCGCGCUUCGUUAGGUGAGGCUCCUACACGAACACAGGCCACUGAUCCGACGACGUCGAGAGACGCCCAGGGUUAGGACAGAUCUUCCCGGCCUAAGGGAUGAUCCGAAGUGGCUUCCCACCUCAAGGUGGGACACGUCGUGCAGUGCCAAAGCUCUGAUGAGGAAGUGCUCG